UCUACGGGCCGCAGCAGUGGGGAAUUUUGGACAAUGGGGGCAACCCUGAUCCAGCCAUGCCGCGUGAGUGAAGAAGGCCUUCGGGUUGUAAAGCUCUUUCGGCCGGAACGAAAUCGCGUACGUGAAUAACGUGCGUGGAUGACGGUACUGGAAGAAGAAGCACCGGCUAACUACGUGCCAGCAGCCGCGGUAAUACGUAGGGUGCGAGCGUUAAUCGGAAUUACUGGGCGUAAAGCGUGCGCAGGCGGUUCUGCAAGUCAGAUGUGAAAUCCCCGGGCUUAACCUGGGAACUGCGUUUGAAACUACGGAGCUAGAGUACGGCAGAGGGGGGUGGAAUUCCACGUGUAGCAGUGAAAUGCGUAGAUAUGUGGAGGAACACCGAUGGCGAAGGCAGCCCCCUGGGCCGAUACUGACGCUCAGGCACGAAAGCGUGGGGAGCAAACAGGAUUAGAUACCCUGGUAGUCCACGCCCUAAACUAUGUCAACUAGUUGUCGGGGAAGCAAUUCCUUGGUAACGAAGCUAACGCGUGAAGUUGACCGCCUGGGGAGUACGGUCGCAAGAUUAAAACUUAAAGGAAUUGACGGA
rnacentral:rRNA from 1 species